CCAAGCAGGAACAAAGUAUGGUUGAA
rnacentral:piRNA from 1 species